rnacentral:rRNA from 1 species
GAUGAACGCUAGCGGCAGGCUUAACACAUGCAAGUCGAGGGGUAACAGGGUAGCAAUAUCGCUGACGACCGGCGCACGGGUGAGUAACGCGUAUGCAACCUUCCUUUAACUGGGGGAUAGCCCGGAGAAAUUCGGAUUAAUACCCCAUAACAUCGCGAAAAGGCAUCUUUUCGUGAUUAAAGCUCCGGCGGUUAAAGAUGGGCAUGCGUGCCAUUAGCUUGUUGGUGAGGUAACGGCUCACCAAGGCUACGAUGGCUAGGGGGUCUGAGAGGAUGAUCCCCCACACUGGUACUGAGACACGGACCAGACUCCUACGGGAGGCAGCAGUGAGGAAUAUUGGGCAAUGGGCGCAAGCCUGACCCAGCCAUGCCGCGUGAAGGAUGAAUGCCCUAUGGGUUGUAAACUUCUUUUGUACGGGACGAAACUCUCGGUCGUGACCGGGAUUGACUGUACCGUGCGAAUAAGCAUCGGCUAACUCCGUGCCAGCCGCCGCGGUAAAAC